rnacentral:rRNA from 1 species
GUCUAUAGCCACAUCACCCUGAACUCACCUGAUUUCACCUGAACUCAGAAGCUAAGCAGGGUCAGGCCUGGUUAGUACUUGGGUGGGAGAAAACUAAUGAUUACAAAUGCUGUUGAGG